UUUAACAUUGGAGGGGACACAUAUCGGAAACCUGACAGAUUCAUUGAUGGUUCGAAGAGAAAUAUGUCAUAAAUGAACUACACUGCAAAACAUUCACAAAUGUAUUUUAUUAUUCUAAAAAUAUACAUUUGUAAAGGAAAACACAUUUUGAAUGGCAGUAUUGAACUGAUACAUAUCAAAUCAAUUAUUUAAUUGCAGGCCUUAUCAUACAGUUUUGUAGACUGAUAAAUAACAUGUGAAAAAUAUUGAUCUAAAUUUGAAUUCGUAUUUUCUGAAUACCUUUUCUUUUCUUAGUUGUAGCCUAUCUUAUGCCUCAAUGAACACACAGGCAAAGGUUAAGGUUAAAGGGAAAAACAGCAUCAAUAAUUUUAACAUAUACACCAACGGUUCUAUCAACAUCCUUUCUGUACCGACAGCGAUAUAUUGAUGCACUUCUUAUGACAAAUGUACUUAUUGUAAGUAGCUUUGGAUAAAAGCGGCUGCUAAAUGCCCUAAAUGUAAACGUAAAUGUAACUUGUUUUUAAUCUCGAGUAGGCCUAUGUGAUAUUAUUCGAACAUUUCCACUAACUGAUUGGUGUGUGAAGGCAAACGAAAACGACAUUAGAAUGGAUGUAAUGAACUGAUAAAUGUAAAUUAGUGUGUAGAACUGAUACAAAUAAAAGCUAGAUAGCACUGUAGUGUAAUCCAACAGUGUCAAACGUGCCGUGACACACAAAAGGUUGAAAAACUAUGGCCUAGGCAAAAGAGCCAAAAUGUUUUCUUCUCCUGUCAUUUGCCGCCACGAAAUGCUUGCAAAUUGACUUCUUGUCAGUAAGUCAAGUCUAUCCUGAUGGACAUGACAGACAGCAACAUGGUUGAGUCUGUUUUGAGACAUUGUGGACCGGAGCCAGGUUUUGAGCCUGCGGAGGACACUAAAACUUCUCUGCUAUUCUACUGCCGUCUUUUCAUUUUAACAGCUCUAACCUGUUGCGUUAGCUGCAGACACCCGCAUCUCAAACAGUCUGAGCCGUUGAUGGGAUGCGGCAGCUUAUGGCUGUCUUGCGAGACAGCCGUAUUCACGCGAGAUCACGAGAUCACGCGAUUAGAGUUGCAGGCUGGCAGCGAUCAGCAGCGGUGACAGCGGCGCUUACGUCCCCGAUGGAAAGCAGGCAACUAUUCUUCUAGGCAGCGAUUCGAAGGCGUUUCCAGCCUGAAGUCCUUAGCCUGAACUUCCAACCGCCCCCAACCCUACGCGCUGCCAUACAUGUGGCAGGUGACAAGACGCUGUAUUGCGCUUUCAAAAUAAAAGCGAGUAAAAUAUAAAAAAAAUAUAUAUAUAUUUUGCGGUAUAAUUUUUGGGGGGGACAAAUGCGCCUGUCUCGAAAAUUGGAGGGGACACGUCCCCUCCGUCCCCCCCGGUUCCUACGCCCUUGCGUCGGAGGUUCCAUUGCGAUGCGUUCGUCUUAAAACUUACAACCUAAACUAUGCCAUCGCUUUCUGUGAUACGUUGCUCA
ensembl:lncRNA